GGUCCUUAGCUCAGUGGCAGAGCAUCUGCUUUGCACCAGAAGGUCUCAGGUUCGAUCUCUAGCAUCUCCA